GACGAACGCUGGCGGCGUGCUUAACACAUGCAAGUCGAGCGGUAAGGCCUCUUCGGGGGUACACGAGCGGCGAACGGGUGAGUAACACGUGGGUGACCUGCCCUCCGCUCUGGGAUAAGCCUGGGAAACUGGGUCUAAUACCGGAUAUGACCUUUCCCCUCAUGGGGGUUGGUGGAAAGUUUUUUCGGCGAGGGAUGGGCCCGCGGUCUAUCAGCUUGUUGGUGGGGUGAUGGCCUACCAAGGCGACGACGGGUAGCCGGCCUGAGUGGGCGGCCGGCCACGGUGGGAGAUAGACCCGGCCCUGACUCCGACGGGAGGCAGGGGGGGGGAAGAUUGCGCAGGGGGCGGAAGCCGGACGCAGCGCGCGUGCGGGGGGAAUGGCGGCGUGGGGGUUAUAAACCUCUUUCGACCCGGACGAAUUGGGACGGUAGGGGUAAAAGAAGCACCGGCCAACUACGUG
rnacentral:rRNA from 1 species